AAUCAGAUGAAAACUGCAGUAGUUAUUGAACUUCAGAUAAACAAGGCUUUAUAAAGAAAGCAUUAAGAAGUAGCUCUUUUAAACUCAUGCUUCAAUUUCACUCACUAUAAAUUGAAUCCUUGUUUUAAAAGAUUUCCAUCCUUCUCAGAGACUAGCCCUUUAAAUAACAGUUAAAAGUUGUGGACUCUGAGAUCAAAUGCCGCAUGAAAUUCUACCACUAUCACUCAAAGUUGUAUAUAUUUGGGCACAUUUCUUAAGCUCUCCAUGCUUCGGUUUCCCCAACUGUAUUAUAGAGCAAGGAUAAUAGCAGAUACCUUAUGUGGUGAGGAUUUAGUCCUUAAAAAUGCUGAAGAAAAACAGGUGCCAUCUUUUUCUAUCAGACCUAAGAUUUUCUCUAUAGCAGUUUCACUUCUGAUAUUUCAACUGAUAAGAAAGGAAAAAAGGAAGAAAAAUAAAGAAGAAAGAAAGGAAGAAAAAAAUUUUAAAAGGAAGGAAGGAAAGGAGGGAGAGUAGGAAGGAUAGGUAGAUGGAGAGAAGAAAGAAGGAAACAAAAUGUAAUGCAUGAAAAAUCUCUGCAUCACUGAAGCCAAGAAAUAUCUGCCUGCAGUUCUCCAGAGAGCUUCCACAUCAAGAGCCGUCCCCGAAAAUUAUUGGUGGUUCUUUUUAUGGUGAGAGAGAAGCAAAUACCUCCUCCACAAAGACCACCGCACCAUGAGGCUUGCUCCUUAAGUGAGGAAGAAGGAAAUGAUGCUGAGAAGUAAUUCUUACAAGAGGUAGAACAUCACCCCUGAGGGGGCAUUUUGGAAAACUGUAGGGCUCUUUUGUUAUUGUUGUCACACAAUGCUUGGAGGCUGCAUUUUACAUGUAAUGAGUAGAGUCCCGGGAUUCUAGACAGAGCGAGUGACCCAAUUUUUUGAAAUAAAGUAGAAUCCUAAGCCACAGAAGACAUUCAUGCAGGAAGAAAACUUGUUUAAAGUCAUCUUGAGCCUGGAACCUACCUCCAUCUGACAUUAAAGACAAAAAGUAUUUUUGCCCUCUUUUAAUACAUACUAAACUUUCUAAAAGUGUUACAACCUACAGAAUAAGUUAUAGGAAAGUCAUACUUUGUUUCACUUGCAACUUUAUUGUGAUUGGUCAGUGUUUCAGAAUAUCAUCAACAAAGUACUCAUGGAAUUUGAGUCUCUAUACAGAAUUUAUAAUAAUUUCAUGCAGGAAGAUUCUGCAUGUAGACUGUACCAAUGGACUGAUUCAGUAGGUCUUUCCUUGUAAUAUGACUAAGCACUUGUUUACAUUUUGAAAUACAUAAAGGAUAAAUUACUUGUUUUAUUUCUCUAUUUAUUAUAGUUAAGAUAUGAUAUGGAUUUUUUGAAGUUAUGUGAGGAGAGUUAUGUUAUCUAUGAUUUCCACUUCAGAAUAGCAAAGGUAGGGGCACAAAUUAUUUAUUAUUGAAGGGUAUAUUGUGUCUGAUAGGAUGACAAUGACUCCAGCCCUUGGAGUGUGAGUAUGACAAGGGAGCACAGAGUAAGGAAGCAGAUGCCAGGUAGAGUCCUGGAUUUUCCUCCACCUCAGGGCUCACAUUUUCAACCUAGUGUGUCAUAGACACAUCCAGAUGGGUGAGGGAGCUUCACAUCACUGUAUCAGUGGCAUGCUUCACUGAGUAGUUAGAAGAGGGGUUGUCAAUAUCUAGGAGAAUCCUCAUACCCAGCAUGGCCCAGUAGCUAGGGAGCUGAAAUGGCAGGAGGAGAUAGGGAAGCCUGAGGCAGCAUUUCUGCUUCUUAUUUCCUAUAUUCAGAAGUUCCUACAUUCUCAGCUGAGAAACCACAGAGCUUUGAAGAGAGUUGAUGAAUCUGCAGAGGGCUAAUCUUAGAGCAAAGAGAAGCAGCAGGGUGGGAAGUUGUAACAGAGAGCCGAGCAGUGGGUACCACCUGUCACCCCAAGUCUUUGAAACUGAACAAUCAUCCAUCCAAGAAACAGAGUAAAUGAAUUACUCUGAAGUCAGACCUGUAAAAAUGCAGAAGGAGCUGGCAUCUCUUUCCCUCUUCUGGCAUGAGCUCACAUACAUCUACACACCAAAAGGUGGGAAAAAUAUGAUCCUGGGCAUUUUACCUAGAGAUGCUAAGUAUUUAUAUGCAGAUACUAAGUGAAGAUACUGAGUUCACUUGAGCAUCCUGGACUGGAUUAAGUCUAAUGCUUUUCCUUGUUAUCCAGUGGAAUAGCACAUCAGUUAUUAGGAAAAUGCAAAAUUUGCAUUGUUUUUACUACUUAAAUGCAGCAAAAGUGAAAUUACAACCUGGCGGCAAAUGUAAAUAUUUUAAGACACUGUUUUUAUUUUUGGAUGGAAGGAAGAUUUUAGAAGCAAGAGUUUACUGGGCACUUGAGGUCAAAGGGGGAUAUCUCUAAGUUGGGAGGUAGCAGAGAAAGGGGAAUUUCCAGACACAAGCCAAGUGUUUUCACUUGACAGUUUUGCCUUGGGCCUAUCCUGUUCGCCUUUAUCUAGGCUCAGAUAACUGGAAGCUGAGGCCAAAGGCUUGUCCUUUGUUCUGCAUGACAGGGUCCAGCCUAAGCAAGAAUUAUAUUAGAAUCUAUUAUAGGGAAAGGGGAGGAAGAGAAAGGACACAGCUUUGUGGAAGUAUUUUUCUUCUAAAAUUCUUCUGCAUGAUUUUGCUUCCCAAAUAUAGUUCUAAGAUGUGUAUGAGUUCCUUUAAUUUUUUCUCCCUUUAUUAUCUGUUUUUUCUUCUUUCCUGCUCUAAGCAUUCUUGUUUUUAUUGAUUUUGGACUUCAACCACGGUGCAUUUUGUGGGAAAUGGAGAGAGUUUUAAGAGUGAGUCAAUAAAUUUAGUGCUAGGACAGAGGAAACACACUCAACAGAGGGUUAUGGCCAACCUAUUUGCCUACAUUCUCAAUUUACUGUGCUAGGGAUUUGGUUUAAGUUGUGGAUAAAGAUAUUUAAUGAUUUUAGGAAAGCAUAUGCAGAUGCCAGUCACAGGAAUUUAGAUAUCAAAAAGAAGGGGUUUAUUUAGACAUUCAACAAAUAUUUAUUGCACAAUAAAUACUCUAGCUGUUGGUGAUACAACAAUGAAAAGGAAAAAAACCAGAUAUUGUUCCUCUUUUCAUGAGGUUUUAAUUUUGUGUGGGGAAGAGAAACAAUAAACAAAUAAGUAAAAAAUAAAUAAUAUGUGUGUGUCCAGUGACACUAGCACUAUAAAGAAAAACACAGCAGGUUAGUGGAUUAAUAGUGAUUGCCUAGGAAGGGAGAGCACAUAGCCAUUUUUAAGAAGUCCUUUUCUGAGAAUGUGACAUUUGGGAAGAGACCUAAGUGAAAUAGGGACCUAAUGACUCUGAUGUUUAGAGAGUAUCUUUUCAGGUAGAGACUAGCAAAUACAAAGGCCCUCAGGCAAGAGUGUGCCUGGGAUAUUCAAAGACAGCAAGGAGUCUAUGUGGCUAGAACAGGGUGAUGAAAGAGGGGAGUCAUGACUCAGUUGGCAAUAAUCAAGUCAGGGUCGUGCCUCAGAAACCACUGAAAAGACAUUUCCCCCCACUGAGUGAUUAGGAUGCCAUGGAGUUUUGUUGAGCAGAGCAGUGAAAUAAUCUGAUCUAGGUUUUAGCCAAAUCAAUUUGGCUGCUGUAUUGAGAGUAUCAGGAAAAAAACAGAAGUUAAGAGGACAUUGAUAUAGGAGCAGGAUGGAAAUAGAUAUCUUAGAUGAUGACAAUAUAAAAUGUGUCCAGAAGGAAGUAGUAGUUGACUACUUGCUGCUAGGAAGGUAAGUAAGGUUGUCCACUGGAUUUGGCAACACGGGAAAGCAUGAUGUUGACAAGAGCUGUUUCCAUAGAGUUGGGGUUGAAAUACUGCUUGGAGUGCUUUCAGGAGACUAGGGGAGGAAGUGGAGACAUUAAUAGAGACAAAAUUUUUAUCAGUUUUAUGUAAAAGAGCAGAAAUGAAAAAGUGAGGGGAGAAAUAGAAGAUGGGAUCUAAAAUGAGGAUGUAAGAUCAAGGAACGUUUGUUUUGAUUUGUUUGUUUUAAGAUGGGAGUUAUACCACAUUCUUGUAUUGAUUAUUCCACUAGAUAAGGGAUAAGUGAUGGCUCAAGGGAGGUUAGGAACAUUUAAAAAACAAAACAAAGUCCUUGAGUAAGGCAAGUGAGAUGGGGGUCUAGUGCAAACACCCUGGUGAGGUUAUAUGGAGGAGAUGACUUUAUCUUUUUUCUGCUUAAUGAUGUAUAAUGGACAAAUAGAAAUUGUAUAUAUUUCAGGUGUACAAUUUAAUGCUUUGAUAUAUGUAUACACUGUGAAAUGACCACUGCAAUCAAACUGAUUAACAUACCUACCACCUCACGUAGUUAUUGCUUUUCUGUGUGUAGUAAGAACACUUAAGAGCUAUUCUUGGCAAAUGUCAAGCAUACAAUAUAGUAUUAUUAACUGUAGUCACCAUACUGUAUAUUAGAUCUGUAGAACUUAUAUUCAUCUUGCACAAUCAAAACUUUGUAUCCUUUGACCAACAUUUCCCAUUUCUCCCAACUCCUGGAAACCACCAUUCUACUCUAUGUAAGUUCAACUAUUUUAGAUUCCAUGUAUAAAUGAGAUCAUGCAGUGUUUGUCUUUUGUGUCUGGCUUAUUUCAUUUAGCAUAAUGUCCUCCAGGUUCAUCCAGGCUAUCACAGAUGUCAAGAUUUCCUUCCUUAUCUGUUAUAU